rnacentral:lncRNA from 1 species
CUUCUCCCUCAUUUUCUCUUGCCACCACCAUGUAAGAAGAGCCUUUCACCUCCCGCCAUGAUUCUGAGGCCUCCCCAGCCAUGUGGAAUUUGAUACUGGGCAAAGCAUCCAGAGCUUCAGAGCUGUUUGCCUUCCAAGAGAGCGCUGGCCCUCCUCCUCCACAAAGUUCCUGUGGUUUGUGCUUGGAAGACUCCUCCUCUGAUAGACCCGUGACAGCCCACAGCAGGAUAAAAGCACCUCCAUUUUUCAUUGAAAACUUGGAAAGAAUCAUUUUUAGAAGCUGC